GCAGCCUGGGCGGCCAGAGUCGGAGCAGGGGAGACGGGUUCAAAAAAUAAUUAAAAAUCGAGGAAAUAUCCCAGAAAAGCCCUUUCGCCGUGAAAACCCCGCAGAGGACCCAGGCUUCCCGCAGCGGAGGCUUGGGGCGCCGGGAAGGUCUGGAGCGCGACCCCUGGGGCUUCGGAUCCCGAGGGGAAACUUGCAGGGGAAAGCGCGGCGGCGGGAGUGUCCGGCCGCGGCCCACAAGGGCAGAGGCCGGGGACAGUGGCGAAGAGCUGGGGGACGCUCGAGGACGGGAGCCGCCGGAGAGAGGCGCGGGGGGCUCCGGCCUUUCCUUCGGGGGGGGCCCGCUAUCCCCCCUGCACACACCUCCUCCCCCUCCCACCCCACCCAGAUCUCCGCACCCAGGAAACUGAAGGCCGAACCAAAAUGCCCGGCAGACUGGACUUGAUCUCUACCCGCUCUGCCUACAAUCUCCAGUCCGGGACAGUCAGACCUGAUGCUCGGUGGUGACCUGAAACCAGAAGAAACCUCUCGCCAAGCUCACCAAGAAGAUUAUCCUUAAGCUCUUAGAAAUGGAGUUUGGAAGAACUUCUCCAGACUCUGUAGGUGUUGGUCAAUGGAACUUAACAAACAGAUGGAAAAGCCAGGAAGAAAUUGAAGCAGAAGGGACACCUUCACCAAAAUAUUUGUUAUACUGACCCAGACAAUUUCCCGAGGUGAUUCUUUAAAUUGAGAGCAUUUUGGAUACAUUGUAAAUGAUUUCGUUCACUUGAAAGUGAGAUUUGAAAAAAAUAAAAUAAAAUAAAAUAAAAAAAAAAA